rnacentral:rRNA from 1 species
CGAAAGCCUGACGGAGCAACGCCGCGUGAGGGAUGAAGGCCUUUGGGCUGUAAACCUCUUUUCUCAAGGAAGAAGAUCUGACGGUACUUGAGGAAUAAGCCACGGCUAAUUCCGUGCCAGCAGCCGCGGUAAUACGGGAGUGGCAAGCGCUAUCCGGAAUUAUUGGGCGUAAAGCGUCCGCAGGCGGCCGUUUAAGUCUGUUGUUAAAUCGUGGAGCUCAACUCCAUCACGGCAAUGGAAACUGUUCGGCUUGAGUGUGGUAGGGGCAGAGGGAAUUUCCGGUGUAGCGGUGAAAUGCGUAGAUAUCGGGAAGAACACCAGUGGCGAAAGCGCUCUGCUAGGCCAUUACUGACGCUCAUGGACGAAAGCCAGGGGAGCGAAAGGGAUUAGAUACCCCUGUAGUCCUGGCCGUAAACGAUGAACACUAGAUGUUGGGGGAAUCGACCCCCUCGGUGUCGUAGCUAACGCGUUAAGUGUUCCGCCUGGGGAGUACGCACGCAAGUGUGAAACUCAAAGGAAUUGACGGGGGCCCGCACAAGCGGUGGAGUAUGUGGUUUAAUUCGAUGCAACGCGAAGAACCUUACCAAGGCUUGACAUCCUGCGAAUCUCCAAGAAAUUGGAGAGUGCCUUCGGGAACGCAGUGACAGGUGGUGCAUGGCUGUCGUCAGCUCGUGUCGUGAGAUGUUGGGUUAAGUCCCGCAACGAGCGCAACCCACGUUUUUAGUUGCCAGCAUUCAGUUGGGCACUCUAGAAAGACUGCCGGUGACAAACCGGAGGAAGGUGUGGACGACGUCAAGUCAUCAUGCCCCUUACGCCUUGGGCUACACACGUACUACAAUGCUGCGGACAAAGAGUAGCGAUCUUGCAAAAGUUAGCUAAUCUCGUAAACCGUGGCUCAGUUCAGAUCGUAGGCUGCAACUCGCCUACGUGAAGUAGGAAUCGCUAGUAAUCGCAGGUCAGCAUACUGCGGUGAAUACGUUCCCGGGCCUUGUACACACCGCCCGUCACACCAUGGAAGUUGGCCAUGCCCGAAGUCGUUACUCUAACCUUUUGGAAGAGGGCGCCGAAGGCAGGGCUAAUGACUGGGGUGAAGUCGUAACAAGGUAGCCGUAGCGGAAGCUGCGGCUGGAUCACCUCCUA